rfam:Xenopus laevis strain J chromosome 8S, whole genome shotgun sequence.
GCAUGGCAAUGGAUUUAUGGGGGGUUCUGAUCAGUGGCCCCUCCAUAGUGUACCCCAUGCAAAAGUGAGGUGCCAUUCUGAACCAUUGACUGGCCCACUUGCUAUGGGCUAGAUCUCUGAAGAGACUGGUACAAAU